rnacentral:rRNA from 1 species
AUUGAACGCUGGCGGCAGGCCUAACACAUGCAAGUCGAGCGAGUGGCGUACGGGUGAGUAAUGUCUGGGAAUGUGCCUGAUGGAGGGGGAUAGCUACUGGAAGCUGUUGCUAAUCCCGCAUACCAUCAGCUAGGCCCAGAUGGGUAUAUCUAGUUGGUGGGGUAAAGGCUCACCAAGGCGACGAGCCCUACCUGGUCUGAGAGGAGUACCAGCCACACUGGAACUGAGACACGGUCCAGACUCCUACGGGCGGCAGCAGUGGGGAAUAUUGCACAAUGGGCGCAAGCCUGAUGCAGCCAUGCCGCGUGUAUGAAGAAGGCCUUCGGGUUGUAAAGUACUUUCAGCGGGGAGGCGUUACCCGCAGAAGAAGCACCGGCUAACUCCGUGCCAGCAGCCGCGGUAAUAC